rnacentral:tmRNA from 1 species
GGGGUCGACUGGUUUUGACAGCGAGUCGAAUUGAAGUGUAAGCACGUCGAGCGCUGGGAUACAGCUCGUAAAUCUCAUAUUUCACACUUUUUAAAUGGCGAGAAUAACUACGCUUUAGCUGCGUAAUCUGAAUCAUAGUAAGAUUUGCCUUAGUUUCCGUAAGACGGAAAAGCUAAAUAUCUCCCGGUAGCCCUUGUUGAUGGCGACCGAUUUAGAGAUACCAUAAAAAUCAACAUCGAAACUGUGUAGCUUUGCCACAGUUUUUCAACUAAAAAAGCUAAGCAAAUAGUGGGCGGUUUUUGGUCAGCUAUUUGUCGACAAUGAAACAAAGACUAAGCGUGUAGAAAGCAUUUGAAUUGCUUGUUUGGACGAGAGUUCGAUUCUCUCCGACUCCACUU